CAAUGACAAACAUACCCAUAACAUGAUGCAGCCACCACCAUACUUGAAAAUAUGAAGCGUGGUACUUAGUGAUGUUGUUUGCUCCAAACAUAACGCUUUGUUUUCAGGACAAAGUUAAUUUCUUUGCCGCAGUUUUGCUUUAGUGCCUUAUUCUUGCAAACAGGAUGCAUGUUUUGGAAUAUUUUUUUAUUCUGUACAGGCUUCCUUUUCACGCUGUAAUUUAGGUUAGUAUUGUAGAGUAACAACAAUGUUGUUGAUCCCAUCCUCAGUUUUCUAUCAUAGUGAAAUCCCUGAAUGGUUUCCUUCCUCACCGGUAACUAAGCUAGGAAGGACACCUGUAUCUUUGCAGUGACUUGUGUAUUGAUACACCAUCCAAAGUGUAAUUAAUAACUUCAACUUGCUCAAAGGUUCCCUUCUUUACGAGACAUUGGAAAACCUCCCUGGUAUGUGUGGUUUCGACUUGUUUGAAAUUCACUGCUCGACUGAGGGACCUUGCAUGUGUGGGGUAGUCAUUAAAAAAAAUCUAACACAAUUAUUGCACACAGAGUCCAUGCAACUUAUGACAUGUUAAGCAAAUUUGUACUCCUGAACUUAUUUAGGCUUUCCCCUAACAAAGGGGUUGAAUACUUAUUGACUCAAGAGAUUUCCGCUUUUCAUGUUUUGUAGAAAUUUUCAAAAACAUAAUUCAAUAUUAUGAGGGUCUUGUGCGUAGACCAGUGACACAAUCUCAAUCUCAUUCAUUUUAAAUUCAGGCUGUAACACAAACAAAAUGUGUAAAUAGUCAAAGGGGUGUGAAUGCAUUGUAUCCAUCUUUCGUUAUGAAUCCUAAGGCCUAAUUAGACUUUUGUUUUGAAGAAAAAAUAAGUGAAAUAAUAAAAAAUGGAACCUUUUUUUUUUGGUUUUCACAAGUUUCCCCCAAUAGUGGAAACAAGUAUUUAAGAAUCUCUUUGAAUGUGUGCUCUCCUUUUUUAACUUGCUAUGUGUGUAUAUAUGUUGUUGUCAUUGACAACCGUACUGUAGCCCUUUGUCAUAUGUAUUGAUUUAGUUUGUUUGGGAUAGUCACUGACUUGCGAACACAUUGCAGCAUUGUAGCAAAUGACACUUAGGUCUUAACUAUCAGUAGGAAUAUGUAUAAUCAUAUGCUGUUCAGCGAGUUGAACCUGGAGAUCUGUUGUUCUGGAGUACAGGCUAACAAAACAAUGCUCAUAUGAAGUGCUAAUUGACUGUGUUGUCUGUUUUUUCUUUUCUUGAUCUGUUAAGACUGCUGGGACCUUGUUUAGUGUUAAAGCUACAGGUGACAUAGACCCUGUCUGCCUUAGAGGAUAAAGCUACAGGUGACAUAGACCCUGUCUGCCUUAGAGGAUAAAGCUACAGGUGACAUAGACCCUGUCUGCCUCAGAGGAUAAAGCUACAGGUGACAUAGACCCUGUCUGCCUCAGAGGAUAAAGCUACAGGUGACAUAGACCCUGUCUGCCAUAGAGGAUAAAGCUACAGGUGACAUAGACCCUGUCUGCCUUAUAGGAUAAAGCUACAGUCAUGUCUUUAGCUGUAUGCCUGUUCUUUCUAUUGAAGACCCUACUAGGGUUAUGUGCAAUGACAAUGUUUUGUAAAUGUGUUAUAUUUAACCUUUUUAAAGUUGUAGAAUGACAAGCUUGUAUUUUUCUCAAUAUUUAUAAAUACUACAGUACUA